rnacentral:misc_RNA from 1 species
AAUUUUUUUUUUUUUUUUUUUUGUGAUUUGCUGCCUACACACAAAGUUCUCCAAGUCCUCCUGGCCUCUCAUUGCCCUAAUAUGAAACUGAUUCUUAUUCAAGAAAAACUUCAAAUAUGACUCCUUCAAGAUUUCCAACCAGUGCUCGGGUCCCAGGUACUUCAUUCAUCCUCAUUCCAUGCCGAGUAGCUUCUUUGAUGACCAGUGAAUCCAUGAUCUUUGCUCGUGAUACAUAAGCUAGUAUGAAUUUGCACUGUUCUCCCCUAAAGCGAAGAAGCUGUUCCACAGUAUCAAAAAGCAAAGGAACACUUGACUGCUGAAAGCAUAUGUCAGCUCCAAGAAUCAGAUCAAAUCCUCCCGAAUAUCUUUUUAAAAUUUGGUUUAUUUGAUCAGAAUUUCCCCACUCUAGCCUCUCAGCUUCUAAUUCUGCAUGUAAGACAACAAAAAGAAGACAUGAGCUAGACUUAAUAUGAAAUCUACUUGAGAGUUUAUAUUUCUCACCAGCACAACAAUUUGGGUUCACAGAAGGUGCAUGAAGCUCUAUAUUUUUCUUGAGGAUCUGAACAGAAAUUAACAAUUGGAAUCAUCAGAAUAUGAGAAGAUUCAAGACAGCACCUUCAUGUAUUUUAAUAUUCAAAACAAUUUUUGCAACCUUGCCUUCAACACUUCAUCAUUGUGAUCAGUUAACACAACUUGACGACAAAAUCUGCCACAGAGUAUCCCAGUAACUCCUACACCAGAUCCUAACUCAAUAACAGAACAUCCUUGGAGCAUCUCAACAUUUUUUGAGAGAUAAUCAUUCAAAAGCUUGGCACCAGGCCAUACCAGUUGCCCUGUCAAAUCAAAAUCAGUAGAAGCAGAUUGGAGACAGAGAAGCUGAAGAACAUGAGACCCAAAUGUAAAAGUGGUCAGCUGGUAAUCGUCAUUGAUAAAGAAAGAUUCGUCUAAGCAAACAAUUUCCUCCUCUUUUUCUUUUUCUUCGUCUUCACUAUUCAUUCUUCUGCUUAAUUCAUUCCUGAUAAUCUUUCUUUCUCCGUUCUCGUCCAUCUCGUCCCUAUGGAUGUAGUGGGAUUGUUGGUAGCUGUGCAAGAAUCGCAGCGGGGGCGGUGAGCGGCGGAGGAAAAGAAAAUAGUGUUGCGGUGAAUGAAGCUG